GUUGGAGGUGGAUUGGUGGUAGGGGGAGGUGAAGCUGUGGGAGUAGGAGGAGCAGGGGGAGCUGUGGUGGGUGCAGUGGGAGUAGGAGGAGAGGAAGUAGUGGUGGGUGGGCUGGGCGGAGCUUGGCCACCGACGCCGGCGACGAUAACGCAGAUGAAACCUAAGAGGAGAACACCUCGUGGCUCCAUGAAAACACGGUGAGGGAACGGCAAAAUGGGAAAUAAAUUGUAGUGAUGUUGUCUUGCGCAUUUAUAUUCUCAGCAGAAGACCACCGCACUCCCACUGUGUGAGCAUGCGAGAUGGAAGGACAGUGAUGCGAAGACAGGGGAAAGCCAAAGGCCAGGGACUGCUCUAUAUAGGCGGGUUUCGUUUUACAUCACCAUGCCCAGGUAUUUUUUUUCGUUGCAAUGGCGGUAUAUGGAGGCAUGGCAUAUAUAGCAGGUAAUUUGAAGAAAGUUGGCAGGUCUGUAUUGUCUCUUAAACCUUGCAAGUAUUUGGCAGUUGUGUACUGGUUCUUUGAUAGUGAUGGACUAAUAGUAUAGUAUUGUGUGAUUUUGUUUAUGUGAGUACCAAACUGACGUUAGAUCUCCGGUGGCUGUGUCUAGCGUCUGAUUACGGAAUGCCAGAUAUGUUGCAUGUACAUGUAGGAUCCCACGGGAUCUCUGUGUCUAUAGUUAAGGAUAUCUCUCUUAUUCUCCAUGACCGGCAACAUCAGGACCAAAACAGAUGGUGAAAAUUUUGGAAACUCUUCCAGCAUUCUUGUGAGACUCUAAGAGGUUAUCCUUGAUUUUGUCACAUUACAGUGGUUUGAGCUUAUGCAACAUUCUAGGGACUAAAUAUAUGGGACUGCCAAUGUCGUGAUAGUAACUGGUGCUGGUCGUUGAUAGAUCAUACAAACUUCAUCUACCCAGCUUCCUCUUACCUUGUUCGGGAGAGAUAUCUUGCUGGCUCGAGGCAGUCGACGAACGAUUAAGAACUAAUGAUAGUGAAUGGGCUUUGUUCCGCAUGAUGCUGUCCACUGGCGGAAAUGCAGUGGCUCGGAGAGGUGAAGACGAAGCCAAGGGUGCCUUCUUGUGUAUGUGGUUCCGUCAGUCUGGUGGUUAGCAUGAACCACCCCACGCAGUCUGGGCUUCGUGAGGCUCAUUCAGAGUACUUGGGACUUCUGCAAAUAGGAGACGGAAAGAGGAUGUACCACACUUUCCUGGAUGGACUCCUGACGUGUACGGUCAUCGAGAAAUUCCUGCCUCUAUCUCUGAGAAGUCCUUUCGAAAAUUAAAACAUUUUAGGUUUCACAUUGAGUCAGUCGUCGUCUAAGAGUUGCUAUAUGCACAUCGAAGGCAAUUAAGAAGUUCGAUGCUACUGUCUCCUUGGAAGAAAAAAAAAGGCUGAAUGGUUUUGUAGAUGUGAUUUCAAUUUUCUGUGUUCCAGAUUAGUUCAUAAGAUUAACGGAUAAGGAUCACGUAAAUUUGAAAUGGUGAGAAGGGAUAAGGAUUAGCUAAACAUGCAUAGCAAUUGGAAAUCGAGAAAAGUUACCCAUUUAUUUGCUCA